GGGAUGCUCUGGGGGUCGAAGGAGCCUUGCGAUGUACUCCAUGGCUCUUUGGCACUGUUCGGCCACCCCACAGGCACUGGGGCUGGUGGGACCAUCACCAUUGAAAUAGAAAUCAAUGCUGCCUUGAAGUGCCCCCUCCAGGUGAUCCUUGGCCAGGCGGGUGUUGGCCUCCCACAGCUGCUCGGCCAUGGCCACCUUGGCCACCAAGUCCUCAGAGACUUUGGGGGACGCCUCAUUUGUCCCCUUCAGGGCAGCCUUGAUGGCCUUCAGCAGGCGUUGCAGCUCCCGGGGGAACGCAGAGGCUUCGUCACACGUGGCCACCAAGCGCUCCAGCAGCCCCAGGGACACCUCCAGCCGCUGUCUCACCAUGAUGGCCCUUCUCGCCUCGCUGGCAGCCGCCCUGGCCUCUCUCCACACCUGGGCUUCAUGCCCGGCCACCACCUCGGCCCCCUCCUCCCCGCCCAAGGCCUUAUCCAGCUCCACCAUGUUUUCCUGAGCUGUCCCAUAACAGGCAGCCGCGUCCUGCAGCUCCCUGGCCCGGGCGGUGGCAGUGGCAGCCCUGUCGGCCGCCUUGGUGGCCAAAUCCCUGCAGGCAUUGGGGAGUUUGGUGGCUGUCCUGCCCAGCCUGGCCCAGCUGUUCACAAGUGCAUUUACCAACCCCUGCCAAUUCCUGGCUGCCACUGUCAAACGCUUCUGGGACGUCCCUGGGGUGCUCUCCCAGGCAGCCAGGGCCUGGCUAAGGGAGGUGACAGGGUCAUCAUCAUCCCAGGUGACAGUGUGGUGCCUCCAGUCUUCAAUGCAGUGCCGGGUGUCCUGGAGCUCCCAGGUGAGGACCUUCAGGUCCCUGUAAAAGUCACUUGGACACAUGAACAGCAGAUUAAUCUCGUCCUCACUGGGCAGGGUGGCCAGCAGCUCACCCAGGAUGGCCACAACAGUGACCUGUGGCUGCAGAAAAGCUGGGGACAGCUGGGGAGGGGACACCUGGGCAGGGAACAGGGGAGGUGUCAGGGACCUCAUGGAAUUUGCAGCCUCCUGGGGUGGCCUCAUGCUGCCGAGUAGUCUC
rnacentral:lncRNA from 1 species